CACACACCAGAGGUGGUUCCUCUCCAGCUUUCUGCAGGUUGCGCCUUGUUGAGUAUUAAACUGUCAGUGGAAUUAAGGGAAGAGAUCUCCAUGAAAAAUUGAUUACAGUUAUAAAGGCUGAUAUAUUGAAGUGCAUCACGAACAUUGUUGUCUUACUGCAGAGCGUGGAAGAAUAAAAAGGCGGAAAUGGCGUAUGUUAGAAAAAAGUUAAUUGAGAUUAUGGAAAAAGGCAUGAAAGAAGGAGAGCAGAUGACACCAGAUGAGAUGCUGUUUACUCAUGAAGGAAUUCUAUACCCAACUAUCAUUUGCAACCCAGAACAUUUCAAAGCUUUGGAGGCCUUCCAAGCCAGGAGUGACGAUAUAGUUCUAGCAGGAUAUUGCAAAUCUGAAUUCCAAAGAAAAACCCUGUUUGGAAGGG